GAUAAGAACGUAGCGAAAUGCGAUAAGUAAUGUGAAUUGCAGAAUCCAGUGAAUCAUCGAAUCUUUGAACGCACAUUGCGCCCGCCAGCAUUCUGGCGGGCAUGCCUGUUCGAGCGUCAUUUCAACCCUCGACCUCCCUUUGGGGAAGUCGGCGUUGGGGACCGGCAGCACACCGCCGGCCCUGAAAUGGAGUGGCGGCCCGUCCGCGGCGACCUCUGCGUAGUAAACCAACUCGCACCGGAACCCCGACGUGGCCACGCCGUAAAACACCCAACUUCUGAACGUUGACCUCGAAUCAGGUAGGACUACCCGCUGAACUUAAGCAUAUCAAUAAGCGGAGGA
rnacentral:misc_RNA from 1 species